rnacentral:rRNA from 1 species
UACGUAGGGGGCAAGCGUUGUCCGGAAUCAUUGGGCGUAAAGAGCUCGUAGGCUGUUCGAUAAGUCGGGUGUGAAACCUCCAGGCUCAACCUGGAGACGCCACCCGAUACUGUCAUGACUAGAGUCCGGUAGGGGAGCGCGGAAUUCCUGGUGUAGCGGUGAAAUGCGCAGAUAUCAGGAGGAACACCAGCGGCGAAGGCGGCGCUCUGGGCCGGUACUGACGCUGAGGAGCGAAAGCGUGGGUAGCAAACAGG